rnacentral:rRNA from 1 species
UCAGAGCGAACGUUAGCGGCAGGCUUAACACAUGCAAGUCGAGCGACAAAGGGGCUUCGGCCCUGAGUAGAGCGGCGGACGGGUGCGUAACACGUGGAUAAUCUGCCUCGUGGCGGGGGAUAACAGUCCGAAAGGACUGCUAAUACCGCAUGUCAGGUCGGAAACCCUGGUUUCUGACGAAAAAGAGGGCGCCCGCAAGGGGCUCUCACCACGAGAUGAGUCCGCGGCCCAUCAGCUAGUUGGCGGUGUAAUAGACCACCAAGGCUAAGACGGGUAGCUGGUCUGAGAGGAUGACCAGCCACACUGGGACUGAGACACGGCCCAGACUCCUACGGGAGGCAGCAGUGGGGAAUAUUGGACAAUGGGCAACCCUGAUCCAGCCAUGCCGCGUGUGUGAAGAAGGCCUUCGGGUUGUAAAGCACUUUAAGCGGGGAGGAAGGCCUGAUGGCUAAUAUCCAUCGGGAUUGACGUUACCCGCAGAAUAAGCAC